rnacentral:rRNA from 1 species
AAAGAAAGUAAGCAAGGGCGCAUGGCGGAUGCCUUGGCUCUCGGAGGCGAUGAAGGACGUGAUAAGCUGCGAUAAGCUUCGGGAAGGUGCAAAUAACCUUUGAUCCGAAGAUUUCCGAAUGGGACAACCCGUCAUUCUGAAGGAAUGACAUCUUGCAUAGCAAGAGGCUAACGCAGGGAACUGAAACAUCUUAGUACCUGCAGGAAAAGAAAAUAAUAAUGAUUCCCCAAGUAGUGGCGAGCGAACGGGGAUUAGCCCAAACCAAUGUUGUUACGGCAAUAUUGGGGUUGUAGGACCACGAUGUCGCAAGAAGUUUAGUGAGAAGAAUUCUUUGGAAAAUGAAACCAUAGACGGUGAUAGUCCGGUAUUCGAAGCUAAACGAAGCGUAGUGGUAUCCUGAGUAGCGCGGGACACGAGGAAUCUUGCGUGAAUCUGCCGGGACCAUCCGGUAAGGCUAAAUACUCCCGAGAGACCGAUAGCGAACCAGUACUGUGAAGGAAAGGUGAAAAGCACUUCGAAUAGAAGAGUGAAAUAGUCCCUGAAACCGUGCGCCUACAAGCGGUCGGAGCAGCGUAAGUUGUGACGGCGUGCCUUUUGCAUAAUGAACCUACGAGUUACUUUUUCCGGCAAGGUUAAGCAUUUCAAAAUGUGUAGCCGAAGCGAAAGCGAGUCUGAACAGGGCGAUUAGUCGGAAGGAGUAGACGCGAAACCAAGUGAUCUACCCUUGGUCAGGUUGAAGGUUAGGUAACACUAACUGGAGGACCGAACCGAUAAGCGUUGAAAAGCUUCCGGAUGAACUGAGGGUGGGGGUGAAAGGCUAAUCAAACUUGGAGAUAGCUCGUACUCCCCGAAAUGCAUUUAGGUGCAGCCUUGGGAAUUACUACUGUGAGGUAGAGCGACUGAUAAGAUGCGAGGGCUUCACCGCCUAUCAAGUCUUGAUAAACUCCGAAUGCGCAGUAGUUCGAUCCCAGGAGUGAGGGCAUGGGUGCUAAGGUCCAUGUCCUAAAGGAGAAGAAUCCGGACCAUCAGCUAAGGUCCCGAAAUAAUUGCUAAGUUGAACUAACGAAGUCAGAUUGCUAAGACAGCUAGGAUGUUGGCUUGGAAGCAGCCAUUCAUUUAAAGAGUGCGUAACAGCUCACUAGUCGAGGAGUUUGGCGUGGAUAAUAAUCGGGCAUUAAGCAAUUUACCGAAGCUAUGGGAUCAGUAAUGAUCGGUAGGGGAGCAUUCCACUCUGCGUCGAAGGUGAAGCGUGAGCUUUGCUGGAGCGUGUGGAAAAGCAAAUGUAGGUAUAAGUAACGAUAAAGGGGGUGAGAAACCCCCUCGCCGAAAGACUAAGGUUUCCUGAUCAACGCUAAUCGGAUCAGGGUUAGUCGGGUCCUAAGGCUCAGCCGAACGGUGAGGCCGAUGGCAGAACAGGUUAAUAUUCCUGUACUACCUUAAGGAGUGACGUGGAGACGGAGCAGUGAUAGCGCCGCGGACUGACGGAAUAGUCCGUUGAAGGGUGUAGAUGUUGAUCUUUGCAGGCAAAUCCACAAAGAGAGUCGAACCUGAUAGUAU